GGACCCGCACAAGCGGUGGAUGAUGUGGAUUAAUUCGAUGCAACGCGAAUAACCUUACCUACCCUUGACAUGUACGGAAGCCCGCUGAGAGGCGGGUGUGCCCGAAAGGGAGCCGUAACACAGGUGCUGCAUGGCUGUCGUCAGCUCGUGUCGUGAGAUGUUGGGUUAAGUCCCGCAACGAGCGCAACCCUUGUCCCUAGUUGCUACGCAAGGGCACUCUAGGGAGACUGCCGGUGACAAACCGGAGGAAGGUGGGGAUGACGUCAAGUCCUCAUGGCCCUUAUGGGUAGGGCCUCACACGUCAUACAAUGGCCGGUACAGAGGGUUGCGAAGCCGCGAGGCGGAGCCAAUCCCAGAAAGCCGGUCGUAGUCCGGAUUGCAGUCUGCAACUCGACUGCAUGAAGUCGGAAUCGCUAGUAAUCGCGGAUCAGCAUGUCGCGGUGAAUACGUUCCCGGGUCUU
rnacentral:rRNA from 1 species